rnacentral:rRNA from 1 species
UACGAAGGGGGCUAGCGUUGUUCGGAAUUACUGGGCGUAAAGCGCGCGCAGGCGGUUUCUCAAGUCAGUGGUGAAAGCCCGGAGCUCAACUCCGGAACUGCCAUUGAAACUGUGAAACUCGAGGACGAGAGAGGUGAGUGGAAUUCCCAGUGUAGAGGUGAAAUUCGUAGAUAUUGGGAAGAACACCGGUGGCGAAGGCGGCCCACUGGAUCGGUACUGACGCUGAGGUGCGAAAGCGUGGGGAGCAAACAGG